rnacentral:rRNA from 1 species
GUAGUCUCGCACAGAUGCAUAUCAAUAAGCGGAGGAAAAGAAACUAACAAGGAUUCCCCUAGUAACGGCGAGUGAAGCGGGAAGAGCUCAAAUUUGAAAUCUUAAAGGGUUUCCCUUUACGAAUUGUAGUUUAAAGAAGUGUUUUCUGUUGAGGUUUUGGUAAAAGUUCUUUGGAAUAGGACAUCAUAGAGGGUGAGAAUCCCGUAUUUGACCGUUACUUUCAGCUGUGUGAUACACUUUCAAAGAGUCGGAUUGUUUGGGAAUGCAGUCCAAAAUGGGUGGUAAAUUUCAUCUAAAGCUAAAUAUUGGCGAGAGACCGAUAGCGAACAAGUACCGUGAGGGAAAGAUGAAAAGAACUUUGAAAAGAGAGUUAAACAGUACGUGAAAUUGUCAAAAGGGAAGCGUUUGACACCAGUGUUGUUUUUCUGAAAAUCAAUUAAAGAACUGUUUAUGCUAAGCUGUUUAGACUUUAUCAGCUAUCUGUUUAGUUUUGAGCUUUUCUUUAAUGCACUUUUCAGUUAACAAGUCAACAUCAAUUUCUUUUGCUGUAAAAAAGCUUGAGGAAGGUGGCUUGAGAUUCGUCUUAAGUGUUUAUAGCCUCUUGCCUAUGCAGUCGGAGAGAUUGAGGUCUGCAGCGUAGAUCCUUCGGGGCUAAAUGCAUUUGUGCUAAGUUAUAGCAUUUCAUAGACAACUUGUUGACUAUGAUUUGUCUUGUAGCUUACUCGCUUAUGUUAUUUUACCUACGCUUAGGAUGUUGACAGCAGUAUAGACUGU